GAGAAGACAUGGAAAAGGAGUCCAGGGAUAGUGGAAUUUGCUUGUAAUUCCCAGUACUUAGGAGAUCAAGGCAGGAAGAUUGGGAAUUACAAACCAUCCUGGCAUACAUAGCAAGAUUUUGACUCAUUGGGGCAGAAAAAGGAAAGCGUACUGUAGAUUUUCAUUUGUUUUGAGACAGAAAUUAGCUAUGUAGCCUAGGAAAGCUUUGAAUAUACGUUGAUACUUGUAGCUUCUCUUCCUGAGUGCUGGAGUUACAGGCAUAUGUCAUCAUACCGGCUCACAAUAUAGACUUUAAAUAACCUAAAACUAUUUGAUAGUUCUUACUUUUUUAUAGGUAUAUCUCACAUAAAAAUUACUUGUGAUGGCAGAGAUUGAUGAUGAUGAUGUUUGAGAAAAGGUCUAUACAGCUUUGCAUAGUCUGGUAUGAUACUCAUGUAUAGUUCAGGCUCGCUCUGAAUGCACAACAGUUCUUCUGCCUCAUCCUCCUAUGACUGGGAUUACAGGUGUAUGCCACCAUAUCUUGCAGGAAUUAUUCUUGAUGGAAACUGAAACCUGCCUAUGAUUUCCUCCUUCUUUCUAAUUUAUCAUAAUAAUAUGGUGAGACCAGGAGACUGGAGAGUGUUCUAGUCAAGAACAUCGUGUAUAAUGGACAAAUAUGCUACUAUAUGUAAAACUAUAUUAUCCAUCAGUAUUGCUGGCUGUUUUUAUUGUAAUUGGAAUGAGUAUAUUUCUUUAAAAAUUCAUGUGAGUGUGUGUGUGUGUGUGUGUGUGUGUGAGAGAGAGAGAGAGAGAGAGAGAGAGAGAGAGAUAUGGAUAAUGUACAUGUUUAUUCAGGUGUGCAUGCAUGUAGAUUUUAUUGUGAAAAUUUUUCUGUGAUGUGAUAUCUGCCCUGAAGGUUAUACUAACCUCAAAAUAAUGUAACUCCAAUGCUUGAAGGUUC
rnacentral:lncRNA from 1 species